AUCAUAAGUUGUUUUGUUCAGUUUCUGAAUUAAAGUUCAAUUUAUUAUUCAACAUUUAGAAAACUAAAACAGAAAACUGGAGAUGAAAUUCAAUACUUAUAAUGAACUGAACAACAAAAGGAAGAAAAAUCAAGAAAACAGUGUGCCGUCUUCCAGUAGGUCUCUACUCCUCCCAACGGAAUGAAAAUUUACAUAAGAUCCUAUCUACAAGGAAUUAUAAACUACGAGUUGAUCUAGAAGACUGGAACGGUGAGAUGCGGUAUGCUGAAUAUGAUACGUUUGUUGUAGGCAAUGAAGCUACUUAUUACGUACUCACUAUUGCAAAUUAUAAUGGAAAUGCUGGAGACAUCCUUACUGCACAAGAUUUAUCAUUCCCACCAAAUGGAUAUGGGUUCUCAAUAUGGGAUAGGGACAAUGAUGGAUCAUCCUUUAUAAAUUGUGGAGAGAAAGAAUAUGCUGGCUGGUGGCUCAAUUGGUGUACUGAGGGCAGCCUAAAUGGGCAGUAUUACAAUGGUGGAAUGAUUGAGAGAGACGGGAUUUACUGGGAAGCUUGGAAACUCUCAAAAUAUUCUCUAAGGAAUGUAUCGAUGAAAAUUAAACAAAUUUAAACAUUUUCAUAUGCGACUGAUGGAGAAAAUUGAAUACGAAUUGUGCAUAUAAAUUAAAUGAUACACGAAAGAGUAAGUUCUUUUGAGAAGAAAAGGUAGAU